rnacentral:rRNA from 1 species
CCAAUAGCGUAUAUUAAAGUUGUUGCAGUUAAAAAGCUCGUAGUUGAAUUUCGGGGUUAGUAGGUUGGUCAUGCCACUGGCAUGUACUGGCCUCACUGAUUCCUCCUUCCUGAUGAGCCGUAAUGCCAUUAAUUUGGUGUUGCGAGGAAUCUGGACUGUUACUUUGAAAAAAUUAGAGUGUUUAAAGCAGGCUAACGCUUGAAUACAUUAGCAUGGAAUAAUGAAAUAGGACGUUCGAUCUUAUUUUGUUGGUUUCUAAGAUUGACGUAAUGAUUAAUAAGGAUAGUUGGGGGCCUUAGUAUUCAAUUGUCAGAGGUGAAAUUCUUGGAUUUAUUGAAGACUAACUACUGGAAAAGCAUUUGCCAAGGAUGUUUUCAUUAAUCAAGAACGAAAGUUAGGGGAUCGAAGACGAUCAGAUACCGUCGUAGUCUUAACCAUAAACUAUGCCGACUAGGGAUCGGAUGAUGUUAAUUUUUUAAUGACUCAUUCGGCGCCUUACG